rnacentral:lncRNA from 1 species
UCUUCUUCCUUGCUUGUUAAAUUGGCAUGUUCAUUGCCUAAUGAGUCCUCCAUCUGCUUUAGCUGUUUGUCCUUUUCUGCAAUGACUUUGUGCAGUUCUUCUGCCAGGACUGAAGCUGAGGUCUGGGCUGCCAUUUGUGAAUGAAGCUUCUGAAGCUGAGCGUUCAAAGCAUCGUUCUGCUCUACCAGCUCCUGCACCCGCAAUUGCAUAGAGUCCUCCUUAGAAGCUCUCUUUUGCUCAUUCUCAAUCAGCUGCAACAUCCUCUGCUCCAGCUGCUGUUUUGACACCACCACAUCGGUAAGUUUACUGUGCAAGCUCUGGAUUUCGUUGUCUUUGGCGACAAGCUUAUUUUGCACAUCUUGUUGUGCUGCUUCGUGCUCUGCUGUUCUUUUCCUGAGAUAAACCUGGAUUUCUUCCCAUCGUCUCUCUGCUUCCUGCUGCUGGACCUUUAGCUGAGCCACUGCCUGCUCUGCAUUCUUCUUCUGGAGCUCCUCUUGCUGCAGCUUGCUGUUCUUCUCUCCCAGUUCAUUCACCAGCCUGGCGCAGUCCUGACGCAGUUUGUUCAGUUCAGCUGCCUGCUUGCUCUCCAUUUGAUUGGUAGAAGUGCUGACAGCAUCUCUCAGGAUAGUAUUCUCCUGCUUCAGGUGGCUUAUUUCUGCCUCCAUCUGCUCACAGCGUUGCUGGAACUUUAUCUUCAUCUGCUGAGAUUCCUGGUAGCUAACGUGUAUUUUACUCUGGAAGGUGCCAUGCUCCUUCUCCAGUGCGUUGAUGCGUUCCCUCAUUUUCGCUGUAAGCAAGCCGUUCCUCUCUUUUUCUGCAACCAGCUCCUGAGUUAACUGCUUGCACUGCUCCUUUGCAACAGCUGCCUCCUCCUUCACUGCAGCGAGCAUUUUCUCCUUGUCUUGCAGCUGAUGUAUAGCUGCAGCCGACUCUGCCUUGCUGGCCUUUUGUAAGACGUCAUGAAUUGCACCAGACUUCUCCUUUAACACCUCCACUACACAACGGGCCUCAUCUUCAGUGAAGAUCAUAUUCUUCAUGGCCAUUACGAAGUCUUUAAAUUUCACUUCAGCAUUCUCUUUAUCAGUUUCAUUCUUCAUUUUCUUGCCACCGCUUUUCUGGAUCCCUUCGUUCAUGUUUUGUUUUGCUACUUCCACCACUUCUCUCUUUUCCAAAGCGCCAGCAUCAGAGUUAUCCACCAAAGGAAUGUAGGUAGUGGGCUGAAUAAGAGGUUCAUCCACCAAAACUUUCUGCUUCUUUGCAGAGACUUUCUUCUUUCCUGAUACAUUUUCUUGUUUUACCUCCUGGUGGAGCAGCACAGGUUCUUGCUUUUUGGCAGGAGAUGCAACAGAAUCAGUCUUAGUAUCUUGAUCAUCAUUUUUCUGCUUCUUCUGCCCAGGCUUCUUCUUAGCUGCUGCUGGUUCGGAUGGUGGAGUGGGCUGUUUUGUAACAGGGACUGGUUCUACUUUCUUGCCUGAAGACUUGGAUCCUUCCGACUCCUUAGUUACGUGAUCAUCUUGAGCUGCCUUCUGCUUCUUCUCCUUCUUCUUCCGUUCUCUGAUGCCAGCAGA